GGAGAGCGGUGUUGAUACUGACGUUAUGAAAUCCAUGAGGUGUAGGGGUGAUAAUUGUUUCUAUGUAACCUUAUUAUCGUCUUAUCCAACUUGUAGAUGGAUUUCAUAUCAAAGGUAAUCAACCUUACACAUUCACUAUAGUAUGAAAUGAACUAAUGAAAUGAUGUAUAAGUAUAACAAUAUUAAGAAUCUAUGGACCAAAAAUAAAAAUAAAACAAAACAGAUGAGAAGCCUAUAUACAUAACGAAAGCAGUGGACCUUACUAGUAGGUGAGGGAGAGGUUGGUACUACUACUAACCAACUAGAGCUCAAAAUUAUCAUUAAUCAUUAGUUGACAACUG
rnacentral:lncRNA from 1 species